rnacentral:rRNA from 1 species
AUUGAACGCUGGCGGCAGGCCUAACACAUGCAAGUCGAGCGGAUGAAGGGAGCUUGCUCCUGGAUUCAGCGGCGGACGGGUGAGUAAUGCCUAGGAAUCUGCCUGGUAGUGGGGGAUAAGGUCCGGAAACGGGGGCGGAUACCGCAUACGUCCUGAGGGAGAAAGGGGGGGAUCUUCGGACCUCACGCUAUCAGAUGAGCCUAGGUCGGAUUAGCUAGUUGGUGGGGUAAAGGCCUACCAAGGCGACGAUCCGUAACUGGUCUGAGAGGAUGAUCAGUCACACUGGAACUGAGACACGGUCCAGACUCCUACGGGAGGCAGCAGUGGGGAAUAUUGGACAAUGGGCGAAAGCCUGAUCCAGCCAUGCCGCGUGUGUGAAGAAGGUCUUCGGAUUGUAAAGCACUUUAAGUUGGGAGGAAGGGCAGUAAGUUAAUACCUUGCUGUUUUGACGUUACCAACAGAAUAAGCACCGGCUAACUUCGUG